UACGUAGGUGGCGAGCGUUGUCCGGAUUUAUUGGGCGUAAAGAGCUCGUAGGCGGUUCGGUAAGUCGGAUGUGAAAUCUCCACGCUCAACGUGGAGGGGCCAUUCGAUACUGCCGUGACUCGAGUCCGGUAGGGGAGUGUGGAAUUCCCGGUGUAGCGGUGAAUGCGCAGAGAUCGGGAGGAACACCCGUAGCGAAGGCGGCACUCUGGGCCGGUACUGACGCUGAGGAGCGAAAGCGUGGGGAGCGAACAGG
rnacentral:rRNA from 1 species